GGGGAGAUGUUUCAGUUCAUGAUUAGCCAGCUAUCCCUUUAUCUCUUGGAAUAGAAAAACGUGCUGGGAAGAAGUCUACAAACGGCAGUCACCUCCUGAAGCGAGGAAGGAUGGGCGUGUGAUCUCACUACAUCCAGGAAAAUCUGCUGAAUUGAACUAACCAGCGGCAGAGAGAACAGAAUGGAUCUUACCUUCGGUGAGGCUUCUUUAAAGAGAACCAUAAAGGUGUGUGUGGUGAGCUCUUCAAAGCGCUUUGCCUUUAUGUAGAGGAAUCAAAGAUAGUAAAUAAAUAAGCCAAA